AGCUGAUGAGCACGCCGCGUGAGUGAUGAAGGCCUUCGGGUUGUAAACUCUGUCUUUGGGGACGAUAAUGACGGUACCCAAGGAGGAAGCCACGGCUAACUACGUGCCAGCAGCCGCGGUAAUACGUAGGUGGCAAGCGUUGUCCGGAUUUACUGGGCGUAAAGGAUGCGUAGGUGGAUAUUUAAGUCAGAUGUGAAAUACCCGAGCUCAACUUGGGUGCUGCAUUUGAAACUGGAUAUCUAGAGUGCAGGAGAGGUAAGUGGAAUUCCUAGUGUAGCGGUGAAAUGCGUAGAGAUUAGGAAGAACACCAGUGGCGAAGGCGACUUACUGGACUGUAACUGACACUGAGGCAUGAAAGCGUGGGGAGCAAACAGGAUUAGAUACCCUGGUAGUCCACGCCGUAAACGAUGAGUACUAGGUGUAGGAGGUAUCGACUCCUUCUGUGCCGCAGUUAACACAAUAAGUACUCCGCCUGGGAAGUACGGUCGCAAGAUUAAAACU
rnacentral:rRNA from 1 species